CAGCCUCUCGGCGUGCACUGAGUGUCCUUAUGUACAAUUAUAUACGAAAUAAGGCACGCGGUGAAUGCCAAGAGCGACUAC
rnacentral:pre_miRNA from 1 species